UCCAUUCCCAGACAGCAGCUGCAGCUGGACACUGACCACAGGCCAAAGGAUACCUAGCGCCAACUUCUUGCUAGAAGCAGCGACUGGGGCUUCCCUAGGCUCUGAGUCAGCCACCCUGCAGCCCCGUCCCCCGCCACACCUUCCCACCUGGGCCACGGAAGCUGCCGUUUCUGAAAGGAGGAGUCUGGAAAUUCCUCCAUCUGGUCCAGACACUCCCACUUUCCAAAGGAACAAACGGAGGCCCAGAAGGAGGCAGAGACCUGUCCAAAGCUACCAGAGUGGGUUGGUGGCAGGGGCCACCACCUGGACCCAGGUCUUCUAACUUCAGGUUCUCAGAAGAUUCCACCGUGCCCCUCAAGGGCAGAGACUGAGCCGGAUUUUGCUCAUAACCCCAUUCUCAGCAUUUAGCCCAGUGCUGUCCUGGGGCCUGGUGGGCAGGGCAGAGGGGAGAAGACAUGAUAAUUAUUUGUCAGAUAAACAACUGAAUGGGCAGAAGCCACUGUGCAGACUGAGAAGGAAGAACAGCUCCUCCUACCACAGCAACAGAUCCUGCCUAAGAAAAUGGUCCAGGCUGGGUUUCUGGGAACGUCAGCCCAUGGCCUCGGCUCUCCCAUCUCUCUCUUUGGUCUCCUCUCCCUGUCUGCCUGCCAG
rnacentral:lncRNA from 10 species